GACGAACGCUGGCGGCGUGCCUAAUACAUGCAAGUAGAACGCACAGUUUAUACCGUAGCUUGCUACACCAUAGACUGUGAGUUGCGAACGGGUGAGUAACGCGUAGGUAACCUGCCUGGUAGCGGGGGAUAACUAUUGGAAACGAUAGCUAAUACCGCAUAAUAUUAAUUAUUGCAUGAUAAUUAAUUGAAAGGUGCAAUUGCACCACUACCAGAUGGACCUGCGUUGUAUUAGCUAGUAGGUGAGGUAACGGCUCACCUAGGCGACGAAACAUAGCCGACCUGGGAGGGUGAUCGGCCACACUGGGACUGAGGCACGGCUCAGGCUCCUUCGGGAGGCAGCAGUAAGGAAUCUUCGGGAAUGGACGAAAGUCUGGACGAGCAACGCCGCGGGAGUGAAGAAGGGUUUCGGAUCGUAAAGCUCUGUUGUAAGAGAAGAACGGGUGUGAGAGUGGAAAGUUCACACUGUGACGGUAUCUUACCAGAAAGGGACGGCUAACUACGUG
rnacentral:rRNA from 1 species